rnacentral:lncRNA from 1 species
UCAAGUGUUGUUGGACGUAGAAAGCUCUACCAAAAUUUUCAAAAGUGUCUACUUCUCUGAAUCAUGUAUGUUUUGGGUCAUUUCCUUGAAGGGCGCUUCAGUUAACACCGCUUGUGCUUGACAUCCCUGUUGGCUAAAGAUACACCCCUGCACCGACUGUUCUGUUGGAACGUAUUUCUUAUGUUCCAGUCUGUCAACAGAAUAAACAUAACAUUUAAUAAGAACCUGUCAAAGUUGAUGAAGUAUUGAUGCCUUUGAUGCCAAAAGACAAGACUGAGCUGGUCACAAGAUGACUGCAUAUCUUCACAGCCAUAAAGAUGAUAAAACCCAUGCUCUAGGAUUUUUAUAUUUGCAGGAGAUGCAUAACGUCUGUGCAUCAGUUGUACAAACAAAUAAACCGGUUUAAACCAUUUUCACUUGCUUAU